UACGUAGGGCGCGAGCGUUGUCCGGAUUUAUUGGGCGUAAAGAGCUCGUAGGCGGCUUGUCGCGUCGACUGUGAAAACCCGUGGCUCAACCAUGUGGUCUGCAGUCGAUACGGGCAGGCUAGAAUUCGGUAGGGGAGACUGGAAUUCCUGGUGUAGCGGUGAAAUGCGCAGAUAUCAGGAGGAACACCGGUGGCGAAGGCGGCAUCCUGGACCGGCAUUGACGCUGAGGCGCGAAAGCCAGGGGAGCAAACGGG
rnacentral:rRNA from 1 species